rnacentral:snRNA from 1 species
AGCCAUGUAGUGAGCACAAAGCAAACUAUUCUUUCGCCUUUUACUAAAGAAUACCGGGACCCUCUGUCUCCGUAUUUGUUUACGCUAGUUAUGGAAAUCUUGUCCCUUCUCCUUCAGCAU